GCUCUCACAAACAAAUGAGUAGACCACCUCCCAACUAGCCCAAAUGGCUGCCCAACAGCCCACUCCUCAUAUAUAUAUAGGCAUCCGAAAAAUGACCAGAAUGCCCUUACAUGAGUCACACAACUCAAAUACCCCUUAGGGGUAAAAUCGUCCAACUUUUUUCUCGUACAUCGGACGGACCCGGCACCUUCACGAUUUCGCUUCGACUCGACGCAAGCUUCGUGAUGGUGCCACACGUCCUCCGACUCGACACCGUCCAACUACACCGGACUCGCCCCCGGCUUUUGAGGUCAAACCGGUCAAACCCUCUUGCACACCUUUGAAGCGUG
rnacentral:lncRNA from 1 species